rnacentral:rRNA from 1 species
CCUACGGGGGGCAGCAGUGAGGAAUAUUGGUCAAUGGACGAGAGUCUGAACCAGCCAAGUAGCGUGAAGGAUGACUGCCCUAUGGGUUGUAAACUUCUUUUAUAUGGGAAUAAAAUGUUCCACGUGUGGGAUUUUGUAUGUACCAUAUGAAUAAGGAUCGGCUAACUCCGUGCCAGCAGCCGCGGUAAUACGGAGGAUCCGAGCGUUAUCCGGAUUUAUUGGGUUUAAAGGGAGCGUAGGUGGAUUGUUAAGUCAGUUGUGAAAGUUUGCGGCUCAACCGUAAAAUUGCAGUUGAAACUGGCAGUCUUGAGUACAGUAGAGGUGGGCGGAAUUCGUGGUGUAGCGGUGAAAUGCUUAGAUAUCACGAAGAACUCCGAUUGCGAAGGCAGUUCACUGGACUGCAACUGAUACUGAGGCUCGAAAGUGUGGGUAUCAAACAGGAUUAGAUACCCUUGUAGUC